rnacentral:misc_RNA from 1 species
CCGCACAGUUUCAGGUGUUCGAGUCUAAAACGCGGACACAACCAGAUCUGUGUUUAUUGGAAAAGUUGUACAUGGGUAAAGGACAAAUAAAUUACCUGGCGUGAAUUUGGUGCCUGAACUUCUGGUCUGUGACUAGUCUAACAAUCUGUUUGUAAUCCAAAAAGAAAGAAAUAUAUAUUUAACAAAAAGAAAGACAAUGCUUGGAUUUUAUGUACUAUUUCUUACACUGCCGUUGUCGUGGGCGUCACUUCUGCGUGAUGUGGAGCUACAACACCACGUCCUGACGACCACCCGUCAGUCGUCACUGCUGGAUUGUUCUGCGGCCUGUCUCACUGACAUGUGCUGUUUGUCUUUUAACUUCUUUCAACCCACUCUGGAGUGUCAGCUCAACUACAAAACUAAAGAUCAAAGUCCAAACGACUUCGUCCAAAAGAAGGGAUCAUUUUACAGAAACAAGGCUACCAUACCAGUGACAUUAGCUGGUGUUUGUGGCACUUACAAAUGUCUUUCCUGUGAAACAUGCCGCGUUCUUCCUGGAAGAAAUGAUUGCGUCUUACGUGAGGGUAACGUCAUAGAGGUACCUCGGUAUCGGCGAUCAGGCUCACUUUCCUCUGUGACGCACAACUGUGAUGACGUCAUGGCUAGCAAUCCGUGCACGGGCAGAUACACGCUGACAGCGCCGGAAGUGACCAAUGUGACUGUGUUUUGUGAUAUGGCAACCCUUUCUGGUGGUUGGCUGGUGUUUCAGAAAAGAAUGGACGGAUCUGAAGAGUUCUACAGAACUUGGAAUGAAUACAAAAAUGGGUUUGGUGACGUAAACAGAGAAUUCUGGCUUGGAAACGAGAUAAUCCACCAGAUAACGAGUCGGACGGUUUACGAACUGCGGAUUGAGUUGGAGGAUUUUGAAGGCAACUCGCGCUAUGCGAUAUACUCUACGUUUUCAUUGGGUAGCGAGGCGGAGAACUACACUCUUCACAUUGGCUCUUACAGCGGAGAUGCAGGAAACGCGUUGGGCAACUAUAACAACGUACCGUUCAGCACCAAAGACGUGGAUUUGGACUCUGCUGGUAGCAGCUGUGCGACGAGAUACCAUGGAGCUUGGUGGUAUAAAGCGUGUCACGCGUCCAACCUAAACGGCUGGCGAUGCGUUGAGCUGGUUCAGCGGUGUACCAUUCAGUACGAAAGAUAUGGAUUUGGAUUCGGCUGGUUCAAGCUGUGCAGUCUCUUAUCACGGAGCGUGGUGGUAUACAUCGUGUCACUCAUCAAACUUAAACGGCUGGUACCUCGGUGGUCCUACCAAGAAAUACGCCACGGGAGUUGUAUGGAGACCUUGGAAAGGAUAUUUCUACUCGUUAAAGAGAAGUGAAAUGAAAAUACGACCCGUCUUGGCUUGACAGUUUUUCAUUGGUGGAUUUCAUGAAGACAUUUGCAAUGCGCUGGGCUCUUUCAACGGCGUGCCAUUCAGUACAAAAGAUAUGGAUUUGGAUUCGUACAAAUACAGCUGUGCCAAGAGGUUUCAUGGAGCGUGGUGGUACAUCGCGUGUCACUCGUCCAACCUAAACGGC